rnacentral:rRNA from 1 species
AGGACGAAAGUCUGACGGAUCACGCCGCGUGAACGAUGAAGGUCUUCGGAUCGUAAAGUUCUGUUGUCAGGGAAGAACAAGUGCCGUGCGAAUAGAGCGGCACCUUGACGGUACCUGACGAGGAAGCCCCGGCUAACUACGUGCCAGCAGCCGCGGUAAUACGUAGGGGGCAAGCGUUGUCCGGAAUUAUUGGGCGUAAAGCGCGCGCAGGCGGUUCCUUAAGUCUGAUGUGAAAGCCCACGGCUCAACCGUGGAGGGUCAUUGGAAACUGGGGAACUUGAGUACAGAAGAGGAGAGUGGAAUUCCACGUGUAGCGGUGAAAUGCGUAGAUAUGUGGAGGAACACCAGUGGCGAAGGCGACUCUCUGGUCUGUAACUGACGCUGAGGCGCGAAAGCGUGGGGAGCAAACAGGAUUAGAUACCCUGGUAGUCCACGCCGUAAACGAUGAGUGCUAGGUGUUAGGGGGCUUCCA